rnacentral:rRNA from 1 species
GAUAACCGUAGUAAUUCUAGAGCUAAUACAUGUAUAAAGUCUUGUAGACUGCAUUUAUUAGAAUGAAAACCAUAGGUUUCGGCCUAUUCGUGAGUAAUAAUAACUAAUCAUAUCGUAUGCUUAAGUAACGAUGUGUCUUUCAAGUUUCUGCCCUAUCAGCUUUCGAUGGUAGUGUAUUGGACUACCAUGGCAGUAACGGGUAACGAAGA